UUCUUACCUGCUCGGUGGAAGACAGGGGAAGGCUGGACCACCUUUCCGAGAAACUCAUGGAUCUCAGCAGGGUGUGGAUGUCCUGCUCCUCACCCAGACGGUGUUUGGGAGAAAAGGGGGCUGCGAAGUUGUGGGAAUUUGGAGAAAAGAGGUCGGAGGUGCGAACGCUCCUGCGGCUGGAGCCAGCACGGCUCUGCCGGUUGGUUCACAGCAGAGCUGUGAUCAACAGGGAUGGGGAUGUCAAGCUGGGACUUGUCUCCUCAGCAAGGAAAGGGAACAGCAGAGAUUACUAAGCGAUGCAGGAAUGUGGUUUGUUUAAUAUGAGCCAUCAACACAGAAGAGUAAAAUAAUGACAGAUGUGUAAUCACAUUUCCUGAGUCUAAAACCAUGAGAUCGAGAAUUUAAACACCACUUUUCCCAAGAUCAAGAAGAGGAGCCGUUUGGCUAAGAACUGAUUUGGUUACUAAUUUCCUUGGCAUUAAAUCAGCUGUUUCCCCAAUCUCUUGACAGGCUUUGCUCCAAGGACGGGGCUGGUCCCUGGCUUGCUUUGAUGUGAGGGUAAGCAGAGAGGGAAGAUGCUUUGGAAACAGGGAUUCACCAACUGACCGAGCUGGCCUGGAUCAGAGGCUCCUCAGCAUUGCUUAAUUGGUUUAUUUUAAUGAAAGAUGGCGAGAUAAAUUUCACAUGGAUCUUUAUCGGGGGAGCGGCGAGUGGUGGGAGACAGAAAUCCAGAGCUGGGUUAAUCCAACCUUCCAAGGGCAGGAUGGGGGAAAGGAGAGCUCUUUCCCCAUCAUGGAAAGCCAGAAUUUCUGCAAGGCUGGAUUGCAGAAGACACGUGGCUGAGGGACACCAGACCACAACCCACCAGGACUGGGGGAUGAGGUCUCUGCUCAGCCCCUGGACAUGGCACUGUCCCAAAGGUCACGGGUGCAGGACCUGGAAGGGAGCGGUUCCAUGGUGGGGUAGGGCUGGGAGGGAACCGUGUCAUUUGCUUGUCAGAUGUUUCCAUGUGUCUCUUGAGAUCAAAAGUGGGAAAAACACCGAGUAGGGAAGGUGCUGCUGGCACAGGAGGUGGCCUUAGAGAGACUCCAGUCUGCCUCUCUUCUGGAUUUGGGAAGCGUGUUCUCUCUCCAAAAGGAAAGGCUGAGAAACCAGGGGGUGUUCACCUGGAGAGGAGAAGGCUCCAGAGAGCCCCUUCCAGGGCCUGAAGGGCUCCAGGAGAGCUGGAGACAGACUGGGGAUAAGGGAUGGAGGGACACAACAAGGGGGAAUGGCUUCCCACUAACAGAUGGGAUACUGGGAAGAAAUUCUUCUCUGUGAGGGUGGUUUAGGAAGCUGGGAAAGCCAAAACAGAGGUGCCCAAGGAUGCAGGACCACUCUCCUAGGUCAUGGGAAACACAAAACCAUUUAAGGCCUAACAGGGAGAAUAAAGAGCAAAACAUAUUAAUUUGUUUUGUAUUUUUCUUCAUGUCCCUAUGUUGGAAGUCGCCAGUGCUGGUGGGAAUUCAUCCCUGCCCACAUCUGAAGGAGCUGUGCUGACCCUACAGCUGAUGGUGCAGAGGUGCCAUCAGCUCACACCUCCCUGCUGUGAGCCUGGGAAUGUUCCUGCAUUUCCAGGAUUCUGUGCUGUGCCGAUGCCAGGGAUUAACUAAGAGCAUGACUCAACGAACCAGUUCAGACCAAGCAAGAACAACCCUUCAUUUUUCUUCCAAGAUUCUGGCUCAGCCCGGCACAGGCUGUUCUGGAGCAUCAGAAAAGGAGCUGCUUCCAAGCCUGAGAGCCCCGACGCUGCCAGGAGCUCACCAGGACCAACCUGCACUGCUUGGGAUUGCCCAGGUGGGAUCCCACAUGUGCACUGCUCAUCCUGGAUGAGAAACAUCAAGGAGACAUUGGAAACUUUCUGCUUCCAAACAACCAGGGCUUUCUGUUCAGCAGUGACCUCAGUGGGAAGAAAAAUUGCUGCACAAAGGGACGGGGAGCUGACGCCAGGAGCAAAACCUCGGCGCUGGUCCCACGAGCAGCUCUGGGUGGGUCCAGACAAAGCAUUUUUCAGAGAUUUUGUAAAAGUAGUGGAAUAAAAAUCCCUCCAAAA